UACGUAGGUGGCAAGCGUUGUCCGGAAUUAUUGGGCGUAAAGCGCGCGCAGGUGGUUCCUUAAGUCUGAUGUGAAAGCCCACGGCUCAACCGUGGAGGGUCAUUGGAAACUGGGGAACUUGAGUGCAGAAGAGGAAAGUGGAAUUCCAAGUGUAGCGGUGAAAUGCGUAGAUAUCUGGAGGAAUACCGGUGGCGAAGGCGGCAUCCUGGACCAUAACUGACGCUGAGGCGCGAAAGCUAGGGGAGCAAACGGG
rnacentral:rRNA from 1 species